rnacentral:rRNA from 1 species
GUCUACGGCCAUACCACCCUGAACACGCCUGAUCUCGUCUGAUCUCGGAAGCUAAGCAGGGUCGGGCCUGGUUAGUACUUGGAUGGGAAGAACCUUUACACCUCACUCA